rnacentral:rRNA from 1 species
UACGGAGGAUGCAAGCGUUAUCCGGAUUUAUUGGGUUUAAAGGGUGCGCAGGUUGUUUGAUAAGUCAGUGGUGAAAGUCUGUCGCUUAACGGUAGGAUUGCCAUUGAUACUGUUGGACUUGAAUAUGGAUGAGGUAGGCGGAAUGUGUAGUGUAGCGGUGAAAUGCAUAGAUAUUACACAGAACACCGAUUGCGAAGGCAGCUUACUAAUCCAUCAUUGACGCUGAGGCACGAAAGCGUGUGGAUCAAA